CCUACGGGAGGCAGCAGUCGAGAAUCUUCCGCAAUGGGCGAAAGCCUGACGGAGCGACGCCGCGUGAUGGAUGAAGUCCCUCUGGGACGUAAACAUCUUUUGUCGAGGAGAAAGUAAUUGAUAGUACUCGAAGAAUAAGGGGUUGCUAAACUCGUGCCAGCAGCCGCGGUAAU
rnacentral:rRNA from 1 species